rnacentral:lncRNA from 1 species
UUCCCUUGAGACAGCAACCCUGGCCAAGUCUAAAGCCUGCUGGAGCUACCUGCCUGCCGUACCUUUAUCCUCUUUGCCAUGGAAGUGCAUCAGAGAGCAGGAACUCAAGCAGCUAGCAGUACCACUGACUUAAAAAAAGCAUCCCUCUUCCCCAUAUCGCUCAUCCUUCUGCUCUGAUGCCAUCAGUGCUGCUUUGAACAGCGCUGCGAAUAGUGCUGAUUGCAGAGCAGCAGCAGGAAGAUGGGAAUCAUUACAGAGACUCAGCCAAAGCCCUGUAAUUAAUUAGUUAGAAAAGCAUCUCGGUGUUAUUAGAGAGGCCUCAGCAGAGGAAGUGACACCUCCGUUCUUGCAGACUCACCUUCCGCCAGAGCUGCUGCUGCGAUGUUUGACAUUGGGCUGGUGCAAACAGAACCUGGAAGUCGGUGCAGUAGGGAGAGGAGCAGCUUGCAGGCUCUGCCCUUGGCCAGCGCUGUACUGCAUGCCGGGAGGGCUCCGUGCAGACAUCAGAUCCUGGAAAUGGCUCAGGCAAGUUCCCAGUCAUUCUCUGGGCAGAGGUUCGAGUGGGAGAUUGUGUUUGGCUGAACUGCCUCGCUCAUCCCAUGAUACUGAACGGCUUAAAUCCCCCAUGUUUUACCUUGCACAUAUGUGGAUGUAUCACAGAAAGCUCCCUGUCUGAGCAGCUGUCACCAGCUUUGCAAUGACAAGAAGCAUUUCUUCAGCUUUCAGCUCUGAAGC